GGCACCUCACCACAGGGCACCCUCUCCAGAGACCCUUUGCAACCAGGCUGGCUGUUGCUUCAAGGCCAGCAGAAGAAUCACUUCUUUUCAGUUCACCAUGAUAGUCAUAAAUUAUAUUAGCCAGUCAAGAAUGCCGCUUUCCAUAUUCAUCACCUGGUCAUGUUCUCAAGCCUCCAGAUGGUCUCCAAAAGGUACUCUAUUACGUUAGUCCUUGAAUCAAAACGACUAUGGUGGUUCAUUUACAGCAACACCUUCAGACCCAGCCAACAGGGAGGAGUAUCUCUGGACCCUGCAGAUGUGUCUACAUUCACAGCUUCACCACUGAGAACGAACCUGAACACAGCCGUCCACGUCUCUGACUGUAAAGACUGCACAUUUACGAGCGCAGGGUGGGUCAGCACCCUUAGACCGAAGGGCUUCAGCAGGGUGACUCACACCACAUUCAGGGGCAUGUGUGUCAUGAACCGAGGGGACAAAUCAAACCUCUAGACCCCACGGUACAAAAGGAAAACUCACGCGCCUAAACACGUGUGUUUG
rnacentral:lncRNA from 1 species